rnacentral:lncRNA from 1 species
UUUAUCUAGAAGUACUAUCAAACACCUAGAGGGGGAUGAAUAGGUGUAUAGGCUAAAAAUAAAAAAUCUCAAUGUGAUAAAAAUUAAAUGCGAAAAAUAAAAAUCACACCGAGAUUUAUAUGGAAAAACUCCAACUUGGAAUAAAAAACCCACGGGACUAACACGCGAAAAAAUAAUUCACUAAGAAAAAAGAUUACAAGGUAAUUACCGACUCCACGGACUCGACCUCUUUUAACCUCCUAUGAAUCUCGCGCAAUCCUCUGGGUUGUCCACGCCCUUACGUUCGAAUCCAUGAACACCUCGUACACAUCCGAAUCCACGAACGCCACUCGAAUCCACGAGCACACGAUCUGAAUCCUCGAACCGCCUUCGAUCACACCGAAUCCACGACGCCGUCCAUGAAGAACAUCAUGCUAAUGGUGAUCCUUCGCUUAGAGUAUCGAUAAAACUA